CUGGAACAUGGCCUUGACAAUGUGGUCGAACUUGGUUUAUUGGGAAGCUUGUGUUUUAUGCUCAGCUGAAAGAAAAGAGACUUUGUAGCCAUGGGUCAAACUUCUGAGUCCUUGUUGAGAAACUUAUGUUUUGUGCUCAACUGAAAAAGGACUUUUUAGUAUCUGGGGGAAUCUGGUGCCUUUUUUUGUAAGUUUGUAAUUCCCUUUUGUCCGCAAAGAUCUACACCUUGCCUUUUAUCCGUCAUUCUUGGAAAGGUCUUCCAGUUUGCUGGGAACUUUGAUAUUGAGCAUACGGUUUAAGAUGGACAAUUAGGUUGGACUAGGUGACACGUGGACGGGACACCAGAUAAGCCUUUAGUCACUUUCUCACGCCUCAUUCCUCAUCAAUGGACAAUUUGCUUUGGAGUCUAACUUUGUUUUUUGUGUGUGUUUGUUGUGAUUUACUGUAAG